rnacentral:rRNA from 1 species
UACAACGAAGAGUUUGAUCCUGGCUCAGGAUGAACGCUAGCGGCAGGCCUAACACAUGCAAGUCGAGGGGCAGCGGGUGUAGCAAUACAUGCCGGCGACCGGCGCACGGGUGAGUAACGCGUAUGUAACCUACCUUUUACUGGGGGAUAGCCCCGAGAAAUCGGGAUUAAUACCCCAUAUUAUUAUGAACGGGCAUCCGUUUAUAAUGAAAGCUCCGGCGGUAAAAGAUGGGCAUGCGUGCCAUUAGCUAGUUGGUGAGGUAACGGCUCACCAAGGCUACGAUGGCUAGGGGGUCUGAGAGGAUGAUCCCCCACACUGGUACUGAGACACGGACCAGACUCCUACGGGAGGCAGCAGUGAGGAAUAUUGGGCAAUAGGCGCAAGCCUGACCCAGCCAUGCCGCGUGCAGGAUGAAGGCCCUAUGGGUUGUAAACUGCUUUUGUACGGGACGAAACUCCCGAUCGUGAUCGGGACUGACGGUACUGUACGAAUAAGCAUCGGCUAACUCCGUGCCAGCAGCCGCGGUAAUACGGAGGAUGCAAGCGUUAUCCGGAUUCAUUGGGUUUAAAGGGUGCGUAGGCGGGGCGGUAAGUCAGUGGUGAAAGCCUGCAGCUUAACUGUAGAAUUGCCAUUGAUACUGUCGCUCUUGAAUGCGGUUGAGGCAGGCGGAAUGUGUAAUGUAGCGGUGAAAUGCUUAGAUAUUACACAGAACACCGAUUGCGUAGGCAGCUUGCUAAACCGUGAUUGACGCUGAGGCACGAAAGCGUGGGGAGCAAACAGGAUUAGAUACCCUGGUAGUCCACGCUGUAAACGAUGAUCACUCGCUGUUGGCGAUAUACUGUCAGCGGCUAAGCGAAAGCAUUAAGUGAUCCACCUGGGGAGUACGACGGCAACGUUGAAACUCAAAGGAAUUGACGGGGGCCCGCACAAGCGGAGGAACAUGUGGUUUAAUUCGAUGAUACGCGAGGAACCUUACCUGGGCUUAAAUG